GACGAACGCUGGCGGCGUGCUUAACACAUGCAAGUCGAACGGAAAGGCCCUGCUUUUGUGGGGUGCUCGAGUGGCGAACGGGUGAGUAACACGUGAGUAACCUGCCCUUGACUUUGGGAUAACUUCAGGAAACUGGGGCUAAUACCGGAUAGGAGCUCCUGCUGCAUGGUGGUGGUUGGAAAGUUUCGGCGGUUGGGGAUGGACUCGCGGCUUAUCAGCUUGUUGGUGGGGUAGUGGCGUACCAAGGCUUUGACGGGUAGCCGGCCUGGGAGGGUGACCGGCCACAUUGGGACUGAGAUACGGACCAGACUCCUACGGGAGGCAGCAGUGGGGAAUAUUGCACAAUGGGCGGAAGCCUGAUGCAGCAACGCCGCGUGCGGGAUGACGGCCUUCGGGUUGUAAACCGCUUUCGCCUGUGACGAAGCGUGAGUGACGGUAAUGGGUAAAGAAGCACCGGCUAACUACGUG
rnacentral:rRNA from 1 species